ACAACGAUCGGGCAAGGGGAGACAGUUGUCUGGGGGCCCCACUGCCUGGAGGGGCCCCCCAGAGGCACCUCACGUGACUCCCCAUUGCCCCCUGCCCAGCCCCAAGGCCCCUCAGCCACUUGCCCUGUUCGCCGUCUCUCCUGCUUGUUCUCCUGGCCCGCAAUGGAAGCAGCAGACCAGCUGCCAAGAGCUGCUUUUCUCCCUUUUCUCUCAGCUGAUCGGCGGGUGGGCAAUGGGGCUUCCACGGAGGCCUCCGUGUAGGCCUCUGUGAAGCCUGAACUCCAGUAGGGCCCAAGCCAGCCAGGAAGGAAGGAGGAGGCAGCCAGAGUGGCCACCACUGUUCUCUGCAGCAGACCCCCUGCAGCCCUGCCCAGCCCAGCAUUUGCCAGCACAAGAAGCUUUCUGAGGAAGAAGUGUAAGAAGAAGGACGGGUGCUUGAAAUAGCUUGAAGCAGCCUAAAAUGGAGAUCGGAUAUGAGAAGCCUUUGGAAGAAAUACCGCCUUGUAAAUUACUCGGCACGGCAAACCUGUCAUGCCAGCAACCUGCCAGGUGUAUCAUAAGUGCACCCUUCGUCUUACACUUCAGUGUGACGCGCUGCAAGUUAUCCAGGGGAUGGAGUCGCUUCUAUUAUUUUCGGCUCUCUAUGGAGAUACAAUUUCCCCAUAAGGGCAUGUUUGUUUGCCUGAGAAUUCCUUGCACAAGAUGCCAGACUGUCUCUGGAAUGAAUUCUAUCCCCAGCAGCAGAAAGUACUUACCGCAUUGAUUGCUAAGUUGCCACGGGCAUUAGCUGGAGUCACUCCAUAAAGGAUGCCUGCACCGGCAAUGGCUCCUACCAGCUGGGCCACAAUGUAGAAGAGGGACCGGAGAAAAGAGAUCUGGUUCCCGACAAAGAAGGCGAUGGUCACCGCUGGGUUGAAAUGGCCACCGCUGAUGGGACCAAAUGUCUGUACCAUAGUGGCGAUAGCCAAGCCGAAAGCCAGGGCAAUCUGGAGGAUGCUCGGCAAGGCUGAGGGCCAUUUCAGGGCUGAGCCUAAACCGAAGAAGACGAAAAUCGCGGUGCCUAAGAACUCGGAGAAGACAGCUCGUGCAAAGGCAAUGGUGCAAACUUCUCUCCUCAUGAUGACUGGGCUGACUCCCAAGGAGUGACAGUGAGGGUUUCUCUUCUGCCUUGGAUGCUAAGAGACUGUAGAAAUAUAUGGGGCCACACAGAUAUCUAUAUAUACCUACAGGUGCAGCAAGAAGGCAUUGUACCAAGAUAUGGGUGGAGUCAAGCUGGUGACCAGUCCUCUCCCCUCCCCCCACCUGUUCCUGUGGAGUUUGGAAACUUUCCAUCUACAGACAAACACCUACACCUUCCACUUUCGUAGGUUCCAGCACUGGUGAUGAUUUUCUUCCUUUCUCCUCUUGACAAUAGGGACCCUAUUGAAUAUCCACAAUAUUGCAUAAUGCCAUCAAGAUUAGCACUUUGACUGUUUGCUCUGCCCUUUUUCUUUUCUUUCUUUUCUGAAUACAUUCCUUCAGUUUGUAAUGGCAUUUCGCGGUUUUUUUUUUUAAACCUGCUUCUGGCACUCACAUUUUCUCACCUUAAAAACACACAUUCUUUUAUUCCUCCUCGGGACUGAAAGGGAGGGAAAUAAUCUGACAAUAACUGUAGCCAAAUCCGCAGAACUGGAUUCUCCGGUACACCGACAUCUAUCCUGAGAAGAGCGUUGGACUUGUGCCUUGUUUGCCUGGGAGAACCUGAAACCCAGACCUUUGCCCCAAGUGCCUGUGGAAAACUAGAAGCUUACACAGGGUCGUGAAUAACAUGCAAGUGUAGCAGCAAGACUGCUGUUGAGAGCCCAUAUUAUGACCAUAUUACACCAGGACUAUACCAACUGGAUUGGCUCCCGAAGGCCAACUCCAUUUACGGCUUUAAGGGUAAGAAUCAGCCCUCUGAAAUGGAUCAGAGUAAUGGCUGACAUCCUGACCAACACUGUGUGUAUGCAGCCAAAAGAAGGAAAUGUGCAGUGGUUGCAUUCUUGCUUCUGAAGCGUGGGCACUUGCACAGGUGUGGGGGGGCAAUUUUCACAAAUCUCCCUUUCCCCAAGAAAUGCUUGGAGCAAUGUGCAAAUAUGUCCCUGGGGAUUAUGCAGCCCUCAGUGAUAUAUUUGUGCAUUUCUGGGGGAAGCGGAAAUUGCCAAAAAACCCCAACCCCCUGUGCAUGUGUGAGUGCCUACAAAAGUGGGAAUGCAUCCACAUCCAUUGCAUGGGUCCUUCUUUUAGCUGCAUGUGUGCAACAUUAGUCAGAAUGUCGGCUAUUAUGUUUCUGGUCCAAUUCAAAGGGGAAUUGGGUUGGGACCUGGAUACCUGAAGACCUUAUUUUGCUGCUUUUUAAUGAACCUGACUCUGUACUGUGGUCAGUAGGACAAGAACUGCUGUGGUCCUUCCACCUAGUGAAGAUGGGAAAGGAACAUGUUACUGGACAUGUUUGAAUAAGAGCCUUUGGAAUGAUUUGCCCAAGAAGACCCUGUUAGACAGUUCUUUGAGAACAUUAAAUGGCAAGUAAAAACCAUGCUAUUCAAAUGUGCUUUUUAUAGUCAUCACUGAAGAAUCUAUCUAUCUAUCUAUCUAUCUAUCUAUCUAUCUAUCUAUCUAUCUAUCUAUCGCUUAUUUAAAAUAUUUAUAUGCCGCUUUUCAA